rnacentral:tRNA from 1 species
AUAAUUUAAUUCAAAUAGCUUAUAAUUAGAGUAUAAUAUUGAAGAUAUUAGGGAGAUAAUUUUAUCUUUGAAUA